UUUUGAGACGGAAUCUCGCUCUGUCGCCCAGACUGGAGUGCAGUGGCGCAAUCUCGGCUCACUGCAAGCUCCGCCUCCCAGGUUCACGCCAUUCUCCUGCCUCAGCCUCUCCGAGUAGCUGGGACUACAGGCGCCCGCCACCACGCCCGGCUAAUUUUUUUUUUGUAUUUUUAGUAGAGACGGGGUUUCACCGUGGUCUCGAUCUCCUGACCUCAUGAUCCGCCCGCCUCGGCCUCCCAAAGUGCUCGGAUUACAAGCGUGAGCCACCGCGCCCGGCCUGGGGAGCGCUUCUUGAACAGGCACUGGGCUAGACAGCCCAGACCUCGCAGAAACAGAGGGGAAGGGGCCGCUCCUGGGGAUUUUUUUCCCAGCCUCCCUGGGCGGGUGAGGGGUCCUGGAGUCCUGAACUGGAGAUGCUGCUUAGAGGGCACUGCUUCAGCCACCGCUGCCUUAGCAUACGUACGGGUCCCGCCCGCAGGGGUCCUUCCACACCAGCUCAGCGUCUGGGUUCCGCCAUCCACCCACGCACUCAUUUGGCAGAUGUCAACGGAGUAUUCACAGUGCGCUGCUCCACUGUGCUAACCGCGGAGGAUAGAGUUGAGACCCACACGACAGCCCCUGCGCUCACAGAACUGAUGUCUCUAAAAGAGUCUUCCCCCAGUGAGAACGUUCUGAUUUCUAGAACAUUCUUCCUUCUGAUGAGUGAACAGCCUCACUGGAACUUCCCCAUCCUCCUGGCUUGGUUCCUGAAGUGGCCCAACGCUGCCUUCUCCCUCCGAAUAAAAGACAACUGUGUUGGAAGAUUGCCAAGGUUUGUAGCUGUGCCACCGCAGACUUCAGAGAUGAACACUGCCUUGGAGACGGGGAGGAUUCAAGUUGCAGAAGCACUUAGGUAAAGUCACUGGAAGUCACUUUGAAAGACUUGUGCCUCAUUGAAAAAGACACAUCUCUGCAUGGUUUUCAUCCAUUUGCUUCAUCUCCAAGACAAGCUUUCUUUUUAAGUUGGUUGAACCUGGGCAUGCAGAACCUGUGGAUAUGGAGGGAUGAUUGUAUUUACCUUUUGGUGCUGCAGAAUCUUUUAUAAAAUGCCUCAGAAUCCAUUGUGGACCAGUUCUGGGUUUACCUGUCUCUGCAUGCACAUGGGAGCACACCCCGGAGAAGGAGGCCGCUGACAUCAUGUAGACACCGCAAACAGGGUCAACUCCAGCCUUCAUGGCAAGCCUGUGACGGUGUGCCUGUGGCAAUGAACCAGCUCUGAGAAAUGUAGUGGAGUCAAGAGCCACCAGCAGAUAAUUUGGAUUCAACACGAGCUCACCAGGUAAGAUGUGCCUUUUGCUUUCUGCCAUGAUUGUGAGGCCUCCCCAGCCACCUGGAACUAAACCUCAAACGUGAGACGUGGUGGGAAAUCAGGAAGACAUGAGGCUUUGCUCAACACUGGAGAACACCAAUUCUUUUCAGUUUGUAUGCAUCUUUAUCAGGAAAAUGAUCAUUCAGAGACCUGAAGGAAGACUCGUGUUGGAGCCUAAGGUGGAAAUAUAAAGGAUUAAGCACCAGAAUCCACCAGGUUGAAGUGGUCAGAAAUCUUCAGUUGGGCACGUUGAUCCAUCACAUCAGAAAAUCUGGAAGUGACGUCAAGAAAGCUUUUAGCAAAGUCAUCAGGGGUUCUUACUCACGUCAAGUCUGAGAUGCAGUGAUUCCCAAGUGGCCUUUCUGACAACUCUGGAUGAGAGGGCCUGGUUCCUGCACGGGAUGCUUUGGAUUGGGUUGUCCUCAGGUGCAUCUGAACUUGUGAAUUAGAGUUGGCAGCUAAGAAAACCAAGAGAGGAAAAUACACCAUUCAGAAAGACUCCUCACCUCCUCUCCUCCAUCCUGCCAGGGCCAAUGUGGCCAGAAGCCCAAUUUUACCCAUUUAAUGGAGAAGAUGGAAAGUGUCUGGGCAUUUUGUCACUGUGAGUAUGAAGAAAAAAUAGUGAUUUUCCCAUCUGAGUACUUCUUUGAGGAACGUUCAGUUUAGUGGAGUUCUUAGAUGUUCCCUGGAUUCAUUCAUUUGUUCCUCCAUCCAUUCUUUCAUGCAUUCAGUGAACAUGCAUUAAUUGGCCCUAUGCCAGGACCUGGGCCAGCCAGAGGUGCAAAUGCAUGCCUGUGUGUGUGCACACGCACAGGGCCACACACCACUCUCUUAGCAGCACUGUUUUUAGUACUCCCUGCAGGGAGGAGUCAUGAAUGAUAUUCCAAACGCAAUCCAAAGAUGAACCAAACAGAGCCCGUGUUUAAGUAUGAAGGUGGAUGACCAGAAGGUGCGAUGUGUUAUUCAAUGACAGCAGUGAACCCACCUCUAAAGCAGACUGGCACCAUUCAAGGCUUUCCAGAGGAGGCCACACCUGGACUGGGUUUUGAAGAAAACAGAUGUUGUUUUUGGUGAUGUAAUUUACCAGGAUUGGUGGUCUGAUCUGGAGGAACUGGGAGGUACACACAAGCAAAGAGGCAACAAAGAAAUUAGAAGGUUGUAUAAGAUGCUGCAUAGAAUCACAAUGACUGCGUUGUCCUGAAACCAACCCAGAGAUGUCUUCAAUUUUCAAAGACCACCUGGGUGAGCAGGGGAGAAGACCAGGGUCAGACUCACAGACCUUCCCCUACUGUGUGCUGCCGAGCCUGUACUUUGAGUAAAUUUCAUUUUGAAUCAGCAAAGACAAAAGGCAUUGCUUGGUAGAAGCACAGUGGAUUUAAAAUUAGAAGACCUGGGUUUGCCUUUGCUUCUCCUGGGCAAUUUUUAACACAUUAAGAAUCUUUCCCUAGUGUCCUGCUCUUCUAUCUGCUUGCUGAUUUUCUCUGACGUGUGCUGCAUGUCCACGUGGUCCAGAUCCCUACCCACUUCUCUUCUGUCACUUGGAUUCAGAUAUAACUACCUUUUAGUUAUAAGUACAUAAAAAGGAAACUAUGAACAUAGCCUUUCUAGCUAGCUAUAUUGCUUUCUAGCACUUUUGAAUGACAGAAUUACAUUUUUGUUUAAUCCCAGAGAUUAUCAUGUCACUAAGUUUUUCUUUACAUGUUAAUUUAAAGCUAAGCUUUAAUUGAAAAAGAAAUCUGAUAUUAAAGUAGAAAUUUUCUUGCAUGCAAUUAGAUUCUAUCAAAGACUUAAGAAAUUAUUCAUUUUUAAGGAAAUAAGGAUAUGUUUUAAAAAUACAAAACAUAGGCCGGGCGCGGUGGCUCACGCUUGUAAUCCCAGCACUUUGGGAGGCCGAGGCGGGUGGAUCACGAGGUCAGGAGAUCGAGACCACGGUGAAACCCCGUCUCUACUAAAAAUACAAAAAAUUAGCCAGGCGUGGUGGCGGGCGCCUGUAGUCCCAGCUGCUCAGAGAGGCUGAGGCAGGAGAAUGGCGUGAACCCGGGAGGCAGAGCUUGCAGUGAGCCGAGAUUGCGCCACUGCACUCCAGCCUGGGUGACAGAGCGAGACUCCAUCUCAAAAAAAAAAAAAUACAAAACAUAUAUGGAAACAGUUUGUUAUAGGCUGAAUUGCAUCCCUCCAAGUUCAUAUGUGGAAUUGCUAACUGCCAGUACCUCAGAAUGCGACCUUACUUGGAAAUAGGCUCAUUGCAAAUGCAAUUAGUUAGGAUGAGGUCAUACUGGAGUAGGGUGGGGCCCUAAUCCAAUGUGACUGGUGUUUUUAUGAAAGGGGCAAUGUGGACAUUGACACACAUACACAGUGCACCACAUCAAGACGAAGGCAGAGAUCAGGGUGAUGUAUCUACAAACCAAGGAGCACCAAAGAUGGCCAGAAAAACACCAGAAGCUGGGAGACAAGCAUGGAACAGGUUCUGCCUCACAGCACUCAGAAGAAAGCAAACCUGCCCACACAUUGAUCUUGGACUUCCAGCCCCCAGAACUGUGAGACAAUACAUUUCUGUUGCUUAAACCACCCAGUCUGUGGUAGUUUGUUAUGGCAGCCCUAGCAAACUAAUACAGAUUUUGGUAACAGGAAGUGGGAUGCUUCUGUAACAAAUAGCUAAAAAUGUGGAAGUGGCUUUGGCAUUUGGUAAUGGGUAGAGGUUAGAAGAGUUCUGAGACACUUGACAGAAAAAGCCUGGAUUGCCUGUAGGAGACUGUUGUAGAAAUAUGAUUGUCAAAGGUGCUUCCAGUGAGGCCUCAGAUGGAAAUGAGAAACAUGUUAUACGAAGCUGCAGGAAAGAAGACCUUUGUUACAAAGUACAGUUAACUUGGCUGAACUGUGUUCUACUUUUUGAAAAGUAGAACUUAUAAGGAGUGAAAUAAGAUAUUUAGCUGAGGAUAUUUCUAAGCAAAGUGUUGAAGGCAUGGUCUGGCUUCUUCUUGCUGCUUUUGGUAAAAUGCAAAAGGAGAGAGAUGAAUCAAAGAAGGGACUGCUUGGCAAAAAGAAAUCAGCAUUUAAUGUUUCAGAAGAUUCCCAGCGUAUUCAGAUAGUGUGCUCUGGAAACAGGGCCGAAGCUGUGGCUGGACAACCACUUGCCAGAGAGACUCUGUGUGCCACUUGUGGAUCCAGUCAACCAUCUCAGCAGAAAUGCUGCCGGCUUGGACUGAAGGGACAGAGAUGGGAUGAAAUGAAGAAAGGCUGUCAGGAUUCUGGGGUUCUACAAGCAGGAAAUGGGCUAAUAGAGCUACUCAGCUGCAAACAUGUGUUAUCCUUACAAGAAGGGAGGAAUGUCCUCAAAGGCAGUUCAGGUGCUGGCAAAGCUGCCAUCAGGGCCCAGAGGGCAGCAUCCUUCACCCAGGUGUGGUACAUAAGGCCCCUGUCCCUUGCUGCUUGUGGCUUGUUGAGUCACUGUUGACGUGGUCGGUGAGCACCAGGUCUGGACUCUGUUCUCUCUACCUUGAUCUCCUAGGUUUCAUUCUCAGCUUGGUACCUGGGUUUAUUAUGGGUGCCCAUUUGAUUGGCAUCCUUGGUGGGAUUAGGCCAUUCCUUUUUAUCCUUCUUUACUCUUUUAUGUUUCUGUUUUGCAUUGUCCUGUCUGAAAUUGUUGUUUGGCCCAGAAGGAGACUUACAAGGUAGAAUGCAGGCAUAGAUCCUGUAAGCUUGUUGUUUGAGCCAGCCUCACAGACUGGUGGGUGUGCAGUUCUCACUGGGCUGAUAUCCACCUGGACUAAUUUUGCUGUGAGUGACUAAUAGAACUGGAUGAGGUUCUCCUUCCAUCUGAAGUUUUUGUCUAAGUGCUUGGCUUGGCUCCACAGACAGUGUUCUCACUGGUUUUUUGUCUGCUGGUGGUGCAGAUUGCCAAGUUUGCGUUGGGAGGAGGACAGCCAUCAUGCUGGGGACUCAAAACAUGAAGUGCUCAAGCCUCACGUUUCUACUGACCACUGCUAGCACUCGUGGGGUUGUCUAAGUAUAAAUCCUUGCCUCCUCUAGGAAAAACUCUAGGAAACUUAUACUUACUCCCAUUACAAUGCUAAUUCCUGUGCCUAUCUCUAAAUGACAUAACUUCAUCAAGGAUGAUUUGAGUUUUCAGUGGCCACUCUGGGGAAGACUUGACUAGAACAAAAUUGUUCAUUUGAGAAGUGCUUUAGAAAAAAAAAGGAAAGAAGUUUUCUCAGGCCCAAUGGGCAGCAUUUUUUAAUUGGUAUGCAAGGCCUCCAAAUGAAAUUCUGAUUUAAUAAUUGCUUCACUAAGAGUCUUUGGCUAAAGCUAAUGAGCAAUUUGACUAAAUUAAGCAACAACAAACUAGACUCAUUUCCCUGCUAAAUCCUUUUCCAUCCUGUCUUUCAGUUGCUUCCCUCUACUAAACUCUCCUUCAUUCCCCUUAUCUUUUUGAUGUCUCUUCUUACGCACCCCUAUCAACUCCUCCCUUAUUAUACCCCUGUUCAGACUCCCUCCCUUUUGCCUAAGACCUCAAACUGUAGGUUGCUUCCAAACUUCCACCUCUCCCAUGAGCCAGGUAUGCAGGUAACUAUAGAAUUUAAGUCUUGGACCUGAGCUGAAUUAAGGAUUUCUCUAAAUACAAAUUAGACCAGCAACUACUGGUAGAAGAAAUCAGAAUUAUAUUGAGUGCCUAUGAGCUGCAUUGCCCACCCUAUAUUAACCUCUUUUUUUUAUUGCUUUCCUAAAUUCUUUAAUUUGAAGAAGGAAGAAAUGAGCAUGAGUCAUUUAAAAGAAGUAGAAUUCAAAAGCCAGACUGGUAGAAAUGGGGUAAGUUGUGCUGCUGGUUAAAAUUCUCAACCAGGGCUUGGAGAAGCACAAUGGCCAGCAGCUCUUAGGUUAGUGACUUGGUUAGUCAAUAUCCAGGAUUGCAGAAGAUGUUCACUUGGCAUGCUGGGCACUCUUGGAGGCACCAAAGAAUACCUCUACUCAGCCUAUUGCUCCUUAGGAUAAAGCAAGAUGGAUGAUAUCUUCUAAGGCUUCCAUGGGUUUAGACCGACACCAGUCCUCAUGACUCCAGCAAGCUUUGGAUUCUGACAGUGGAACUGUAAGUGCUAAUGUGGGAAUCCAUGGAGAGGUUUGGGGGAAUUUGGGGGUGGAGAAAGAGUAAGCCAUGUGAAAUUGUACAUAAAAUUAUAUGUGUAUGUGUGCUUAUGCAUAUUUUCCUGAGGAUAGAGUCACUAGAGUUUAUCAGAUUAUCAAAAGGUCCUGAGUCCCCAAAAAGGCCAAGAACUACUUCAGUUUAGGUUAUGGCUGAGGCUUUGGGGUCUCUAUAAGUUUUCUAGUCUGAGUCCUUGAAGGUUCAGAUUCUUCCCCAGUGGAUGCUCCCUCCCAGAGCACGAGUCACAUCAGAGUGGCACUUUAUAGGACCAUGUGCUGUCUGAGCUGCCCUAUCUUCAGCGUCCUCAAACCACAAUUAUCAGACAAGAAUUUUGUAUCUAGCAAAACUAAGCUUCAUAUAUGAAGGAAAGAUACAGUCUUUUUCAGACAAACAAAUGCUGAGAGAAUUUGCCACUACCAAGCCACCACUACAAGAACUGCUAAAAGGUGCUCUAAAUCUUGAAACAAAUCCUAGAAACACAUCAAAACAGAACAUAUUUAAAGCAUAAACCUCACAGGUCCUAUAAAACAAAAAUACAAUUUAAAAAAGAAAAACAAAAACCAAAAAACCAAGGUAUACAGGCAACAAAUAGCAUGAUGAAUGGAAUGGUAUCUCACAUCUCAAUACUAACAUUGAAUGUAAAUGGCCUAAAUGCCUCACUUAAAAUAUACAGAAUUGCAGAAUGGAUAAGAAUUCACCAAACAACUAUCUGCUGCUUUCAAGAGACUCAUCUAAUACAUAAGGACUUCCAUAAACUUAAGGUAAAAAGGGUGGAAAAAGACAUUUUAUGCAAAUGGAGACCAAAAGCAAUCAAGGGUAGCUGUUAUAUCAGACAAAACAAACUUUAAAGCAACAGCAGUUAAAACAGACAAAGAGGGACAUUAUAUAAUGAUAAAAAGCCUUGUCCAACAGGAAAAUAUCACAAACCUAAACAUAUGUGCACCUAACACUGGAGCUCCCAAAUUUAUAAAACAAUUACUACUAGACCUAAGAAAUGAGACAGACAGCAACACAAUAAUAGUGGGGGACUUCAGUACUCCACUGACAACACUAGACAGGUCAUUAGACAGGUCAUCAAGACAGAAAGUCAAGAAAGAAACAAUGGAUUUAAACUAUACCCUGGAACAAAUGGACCUAACAGAUAUAUACAGAACAUUCCAUCCAACAACCACAGAAUAUACUUUUUAUUCAACAGCACAUGGAACUUUCUCCAAGAUAGACCAUAUGGUAGGCCACAAAACAAGCCUCAGUAAAUUUAAGAAAAUUGAAAUCAUAUCAAGCUGUCUCUCAGACUACAGUGGGAUGAAACUGGAAAUCAACUUCAAAACCAGGCAAAUACAUGGAAAUUAAAUAACCUGCUCCUUAUUGAUUUUUUUUUUUUAAUGAGAGAAGGUCUUACUCUGUCACCCAGGCUGGAGUGCAGUGGCAUGAUUAUAGCUCACUGCAGUCUUGAACUCCUGGGCUCAAACAAUUCUCCUGCCUCAGCAUCCAAAGUAGCUAGGUACUACAGGUGUGUGCCACAAUGCCUGGCUAUUUUUUUUUUUUUUUUAAAUUUUGUAAAGGUGAGGUCUUGCUAUGUUGUCCAAGCUGGUCUUGAACUUCUGGCCUCAAGCGAUGUUCCCACUUUGGCUUCCUAAAGCACUGGCAUUAUAGGUGUGAGCCUGGCCCCAACUUGUAUAGAUAUUGGUCAAACCUCAGAUGCUAAAGCCUAGAUGGCAAAAGUUGAUUAUAAUGACCUGGAAAAGGACUACAGAAUGCCUUUUUCUAUAAUAAACUCAAGGCUGUCCCCUGCCACCGACCCCACCCCCACCCCUCGCCAAAAAAAAAAAAAAGCCAGAACAAUAGGUCAACAUCUUCUAAAAGCCAUAUCUGAACUAUUUCUAGUAGAAAUGGUUUGGGUUAUAAUUAAAUCAUGAAAACAGAAAAGAUGCAACUAUAGAAGAUUUUCAGGACAGACUAGAAAACACCUUCCGACAACAUUCAGGAGUUAAAGAUGGCACUGAUGUAACAGUGGUCGUUUCAAUUCGUUUCGUCCUUGGAAUUAAAUGUGAAAUUACAGACCUAAUUGAAAACCAGAGAUCAGAAUGAGAAAUAGCCUCUUCUCUUGAACCACAACACCUUGGAGAGCAUUUUGAAAGAGUUUUAGAAUAAAUAUGAAAUAAGAACAAAAAUAAACUUAUAUUCUGUAAAUCAACCAGCUAAGUGGCCCACUUUCUAAUCAGUUAUCUACUGAUGAGGACACUUAUUGAAGGGAGACUGGAAAAAAGAUAGUCUGGUCAUGCAAAGGAAAAGCAAAACAAAGAAAAAUCCUUCAAUUCAGAUCAAUGAGCAUGCAUCAAGGAAGGAAAGAACUCACUAUCUUGCCUUACCCUUAAACAUUCAAGGUGAAUUAACAAUAAAUACAGAUGGUCAAUCUCUUCAAUUACUGGUAGAUAUGGUGCUACUCUCUCUAUAUUAAACCCUGCCACCUUUGCUCAACAUCUUCCUCAGAGUAAACAUACCACACAGGUGGUAGAUAUUUCAAAUAAACUAUAGCUUUUUUCUAUCUCUCAGCUCUUAUUGGUAACACUUAGACUUUUGACUGAAAAGCAUUCCUUCCUACUCUGUGAUACUAACCCCUGCAAAUUUAAUAGGAAGAGACUUACUUUGCAAAUGGAAUUGUCAUGUGAUAUGCACACUGGAGGGACUGUUACUUGAGGCUUUAGAGAACUCCUUUGCUUAUAAUUGGGGGAUUUCUGAUCUAGAUGUACUUUUGCCUUCUCUAUUGUGUUUGAUGCACACUGCAAAUAAAGAUCUUGAGACUGUACUUGACAUCCUAUGGGCUAAACAUUCCACUGAAAUAGGAAAAAUAAUUGGAGCAGAACCAACUAAAGUUCAGAUAGAUCUUACCAAACUGUUGCAAUUAUUUCCACAAUAUCCCUUGAAGCCAAAAGCAAAAGAAGGACUCAAAUCUGUACUUAAAAGCCUUUUAUCCAAAGGCCUUCUUGUAUCCUGGACUAGCUACUACAAUAUGCUUGUUCUUCCAGGAAAGACACCAAGUGGAUGAGAAUAUUGACUUGUCUAAGACACCAAGGCCACCAACAACAUUGUUAUUCUUCAAUGUGGCAGCAUCUAACCCAAAUAUCAAUAAUGUCGUUAAUUCCAUCUGAAGUCUCUUGCUUCACUGUACUGUAUCUUUGCUCCAUAUUUCUGCAGUGUGCCUCUAGACCAGGGCAGCCAAUAUCUUUUUGCCUUUACUUGUGGAAGACAGCACAGACCUGGAUAGUUAUGUUCUAGAGAUUUAAAAAAGUAAUAUUUUUCCUAGGUCUUAAAGACUGAAAAGAUCUAAAUUUCUCUUGUGAUUCAUAUUGUCAUUCACUCCUGCAAUACUCUAAGUCCUGCCUUUCACUUGCCUUUACCAGAGGAAGGGGAAACCUCAUGAUUGUCUUACCUCAUUUAGCGAACAGCCUGUGUCUCACUCUGAUUUAUUGGAGACUCCCACUGAGAACCCUGUCCUUGGAUUAUUGGUUGGUGAGUCAUGCUUCACAGCUGGAAGUGGAGGUUAUAAAGCAGAAUGUGCUAUCACCAAAUUAAGCAGUCCUCUGGAAUAUAGCUCUCUACCUGAGGCAAAAUAAACUCAGAUGGCAGAACUUCUUGCCCUUAGUAGAGCUUAUCAACUAGCCAAAGAACAGAGAGUAAACAUAUACAGUCAACCCAUCUGGUGUGGGCUCUGCACUCCUGGAUUCAACCAGGCAUGGAUUGAAAAUAUUCAGAAAAAAACAAUUCCACAAAGUUCCAAAAAGUAAAACUUGAAUUUGCCAUGCCCUGAGUACUACAAUGAAUCCACUCAAAUGCAGUAAUAUGUUGGCAUUAUAUUAAGUAUAUAAUCUAAAAUCUCUAUAAUCUAUAAAUUCUAUAAUUGGGUUUAUAGGUAUGUAAUCUCUGUAAUCUAGGGAUGAUUUGAAGUACGUGGGAGUAUCUACUUAGGUUAUAUGCAAAUACUAUACCAUUUUAUAUAAGGGACUUGAGUAUCCACGAAUCUUGGAUUAGUGUUUUAUAAUAGUGCUGGAUGGAACUAUCUUAGCUUUUUUUUUUUUUUUUUGUCUUUCCAUCUCUUCCUCCAUGUGAGGACACAGCCUUUGUCCCCUCCAGAGGAUGAAGUAACAAGGCACCAUCUUGGAUGGAGAGACCAGGAUCCUCAGCAGGCACUGAACUCGACAGUGCCUUGAUCUUGGAUUGGAGGUUUUAUAGGAUACGCAAUUCAUUCCUAUAGUAAAUGAUUAUAAGACCCUAAAGUAAGUUUUAGUAAAUUGAGCAAAGGUAGAACAUUUGUAAAAGUUAUAACUUUAUUUCAAAAUACGUCCAUGGGUACAGUCCAUCUGGUUGGACUCACCUUUACUCCAAGUCAUGGGCUCCAGGCAGGUGUGAUAUGCACAAACUCACCCCUGACUUUCUCUAAUCUUUUCCUCCCCACCCCUUUGCUUUUUCCUUUAAUCAUUACUCUCCUCAUUUUUUUCUUGUGACAUUUUUCUUACAAACUUUAAAUUUUUAGUGUAAGUUAUAGCACACUAUGAUGUAUGCAUUCACACAUACACACUUUUUUUCUAAGUGGGAAUCACUUCUUUUGCAAUGCCUUCCCUGACUUUUUUUGUCUUUGAUAUACUCCUUCUGUAGUUUACUUUUGUGACACUCUGCACCUCUCUCUCCUAUCAUUUGUCCUAGUUGCAAUUUUGUACUUAUUUUUUGAUGAUCUGAUUAACAUUUUCCUCCUUCAGUAGGCUGGAACUACGUCUGCUUUUUUCAUGAUUUAGCACCAAGCUUGAUUCAAUAAAUUAUUACUGAAUUAAUGAAAUAAAAGUAUUGCAAUCAUGUAAUUAUGGUAGUUCCCUAUUUUCACAUAUCUUUCCUCAUUAGGCAAUGCUGAUUUCUCAGAAGCCGGGGUUAAGCCUGACACACAGUGGAUGUUUAAUAAAUGUCCAUUGUUGAAAUGAACCAGUUGUAUCUGUCUAGUGUCAUUCAUUGUCCCAUUCAUAGCGGGAGCAUGAACCAAUGAAGUACCACCGUACCUGACCAAGGAGACGCAGAUGAGGAAUUACAAAGGAAAGAUGUGGCUGCAUCAGAGAAGCCUGCUCAAUUUUUUGCAGAAGAUGAAUGAUUAAUUCAUCACCUGCAGUGACACUGGACUUAUUAUCAUUUUGCUUUCUAAGGCUGUUUUACAAAUAACUGGUCGGUUAGUUAAGAAACUGGGAAAUUUUCAUUAUAAUAUAGUGAAAAAGUUGGUCCAGAAACUAGAGAUCUGGCUUCUCCUCUCUCUUUUGUCUUUAGCUAAAGAUAAGCAAAACUUUUUCACUCUCUGGACUUCAAUGUUCUCAUCUUAAAUAAAGGUUUUGGGACAAAAGUGUCUUAAAUUUCUUAAAAUUCCCUUGCCUUGUGAAGGGUGUAACAUUUGGAUUUUUAUUUUACUUAUUUUAGCCACACAUUCUUGCAAGUUUCAUUUCAUGGUCUGAAAAAGUAAAGCACUUCUAAGAAAGUAUUUAGAAGAUAGAAUGUUUCUGGUGCAAAACAUGGCCAAUAAAACUUAAGCGUAAUCAAAUUUUCUAUAUAUUUUCAUGUUCAACUUGUCUUCUCAAGCUAACUCACCACCGAUCACUCUUUGUGAAGAUAUUUAUCAAUUAAUCAUACACCUCCUGAAUUUUCUAGACCAGUAAAGAACUACAACACCUUGGAGUCCCACGAGCAUUUUAUGACAUGAAGAGCCCACGAAACAGAUUGAAAAAAGGGGGAAGCCUGUAGAAUAGAUGGCAACUUCACUAACAUCUUUAUUUAUUUUUUUAAAAUCGUAUCUACUCCUAUGCUCUAAUGAUCUAGAAUUUUCAGUGAAUCCCUGGGAAACUUAAAGAAUGCUGUGAGUGCAUUCUUUUUUAAAUAUUUAAGAAAAGAGACAUUUACUUUUAUAAAGAAGAACAUAUGGCCUUGUUUGUUACUGUGAAUCCUUGGUUCUAAUUACUGCUGUCACCCAGGCAUGUGUUCCCAACAUUAACCUUUGUCUGAACGAUUCUUAUCCCUAUGUAGGUGUAUUCUAUAUCUGCAUCUUCCAUUAAGCCCUCAGCGAACCAUUUAACACAUACAGACACACACACACACGUACACACAAAUUGACCCCCAAUUUUUUAGGUUUUAAUCCUCUUAUUUUUCAUGUGUUAAACUCAUGGGCCUUAUAUUUAAGUAUAUUUUUUGCACCUGCUGUCUGCCCAGACCCCUCCCUUAAUUGACCUGAGGUCUCUCCUCUCUCUGAUGCUGAAGGGUCUACUUAGGGUGCAAGGAUUUUCUAUACCGUGGUGGUAACAGAAAUGUAUGAUUGAAGUUUAUUAUAUGUCAAUGAUGAAAGGGAUAAUCCUGAUUUUUUAAUAAUGGGAUUUAUCCUGAUAACUUUGAAAUAAAUAAAAUAUAACAUUCAUCUUUGUGGCUUACUAAAACAUAGCUGUUAAUGGACGCUGUAUUCCCUUUAAAAUUUUCUUCUUUUUUUUUUUACUUUAUUCGCACACUUCUCCAUGGAAACCCUAAACAUUAAUUUAAAAAAAUGGUAUUAGUUUUCUUUGAGAUAAUAAAAUUUUAAUGUGUUGUAAUGAAUAAAGGGGAAAAUAAAUUUAUGAAACAAAUUGCUAUUAGAAACCUGUUUUCGAAGAAACUGAUCAAACUAUUAUAAAAUCAAUGAUCCUAAGACUUAAGUCUUAUUUUCAUAAAUAAUUCCUGCACAUACAUUGUGAAAAUUUAGUCUUUCUCCAAGCUCAGUGCCUAAUCCCACUCAAGGGUGACCACUUGGAGUGGAGCCUUGUCAAUACCCAAACAUGUGCCUUGCAUGUUGUGCACAUAUAAACACACAAGUUCGUAGUUUAUAUAUCAAUCCUCUCUUUUAGAACAGAAACAAGAGUACAGCAGAUAGCAUUGUUCUGACCUAGAAUCUUUAAAAAAAAACUCUAUGAACAAAUAUGGAAGCACGUUCUGCUUUUUGAAAAUUUUUUAGGUGAUUAUAUGGUGUAGACUAUAUAUAUUCUCUAUACUGCAUAAAAGGAGUUGUCAAAUUAUGGCCACAGAUCUACUACCUGUUUUUCUAAAUAAAGCUUUAUUGGAACACA